rnacentral:rRNA from 1 species
AGUGAACGCUGGCGGCAUGCCUAACACAUGCAAGUCGAACGAGACUUGGCAGUUUAUCGUCAAGUCUAGUGGCAAACGGGUGAGUAAUACGUGAACAAUCUUCCUUUGAGUGGGGGAUAACCCCGGGAAACCGGGGCUAAUACCGCGUGAGACCACGUCCUGGCAUCAGGAUGGGGUUAAAGUUCCGCAAGGGACGCUUAGAGAGGAGUUCACGGCCUAUCAGCUAGUUGGCGGGGUAAUGGCCCACCAAGGCGACGACGGGUAAGCGGUCUGAAAGGACGAUCGCUCACAAUGGCACUGAGACACGGGCCAUACUCCUACGGGAGGCAGCAGUGGGGAAUUUUGCGCAAUGGGGGAAACCCUGACGCAGCAAUGCCGCGUGGAGGACGAAGGUCUUCGGAUUGUAAACUCCUUUUGCGGGGGAAAAAUAACGGCGUGAAUAACGCUGAUUGAUUGUACCUCGCGAAUAAGCCACGGCUAACUUCGUG